CUGGCGGCGUGCCUACACAUGCAAGUCGAACGAGAACGGGUAUUAGUUUACUAAUACUGUCAGCUAAGUGGCGCACGGGUGAGUAAUAUAUAGUUAACCUGCCCCAAAGAAGAGAAUAAUUGUUGGAAACGACUUGUAAUGCUCUAUAUGCCUUUAUCACAUAAGUGAGCAAGGGAAAUAUUUAUAGCUUUGGGAUGGGACUGUACGGUAUCAGCUUGUUGGUGAGGUAAUGGCUCACCAAGGCUAUGACGCCUAACUGGUUUGAGAGGAUGAUCAGUCACACUGGAACUGAGACACGGUCCAGACUCCUACGGGAGGCAGCAGUGGGGAAUAUUGCACAAUGGAGGAAACUCUGAUGCAGCAACGCCGCGUGGAGGAUGACACAUUUCGGUGCGUAAACUCCUUUUAUAUGAGAAGAUAAUGACGGUAUCAUAUGAAUAAGCACCGGCUAACUCCGUGCCAGCAGCCGCGGUAAUACG
rnacentral:rRNA from 1 species